rnacentral:antisense_RNA from 1 species
CUUCACCGAACCCAGCCACAGCGGGUUGUCGUUGCCGUGUUCCCUGCCGUACGUGGCGAGGACGGCCUGCGCUUC